rnacentral:lncRNA from 1 species
CAAUGGCAUUUUGUUUUAGCAGCCCAAACUGAGUAGGACAUAUACAAUAAAAUAAUAUGUAUUCAUGGUUCUCAUACUUGAAUACAGGUUGGAAUCCCCUAGAGGGACUGUUAACUAAAGCACAUAUUCAUGUGUUCCCCUUCCGUCACCCCACCCUGAAGUUUUUGAUUCAGUAAAUCUAGGAUGGGGUCCAGGAAUUUAUAUUUCUACUAAGUCCCAAAGCAAUGCAAAUGUUGCUGGUCUGAACCCUACUUUAGGAGCAAUUAAUAUAUAAGAGCAUCCAAUGACAUAAUCUCUUUAUAUUGCUUAAAAGACAAUUGAUGUGGGCUGGGGUUGUGGCUCUGUGGCUCAGUGGUAGAGUGCUGUCUAGCAUGUGCAAGGUUUGAUCCUCAGCACCACAUAAAAAUAAAUAAAUAAAAUAGAGGUAUCGUGUCCAACUACAACUAAAAAUAAAUAUUAAAAAAUUGAUGUGACAAAAGUACUUUAAAUCUAGUUUUGUAUACCAAUGUUUUAAAAGUUGAAAAGUGGUUAACUGAGUUAUCCUGAAUGGCGGGAUUAUGGGGGUGGACAUUUUUUGCCUGGGUUUAAUCCCAUCUCUAGUUCUCAUCUUCUAUAAUAUCUUGAACAGAUUAACUAAUCCACAGCAGCCACAACUUCCUUGCUUACAAACAGAUAAUGAC